rnacentral:rRNA from 1 species
GAUGAACGCUGGCGGCGUGCCUAAUACAUGCAAGUCGAGCGAACGGACGAGAAGCUUGCUUCUCUGAUGUUAGCGGCGGACGGGUGAGUAACACGUGGAUAACCUACCUAUAAGACUGGGAUAACUUCGGGAAACCGUAGCUAAUACCGGAUAAUAUUUUGAACCGCAUGGUUCAAAAGUGAAAGACGGUCUUGCUGUCACUUAUAGAUGGAUCCGCGCUGCAUUAGCUAGUUGGUAAGGUAACGGCUUACCAAGGCAACGAUGCAUAGCCGACCUGAGAGGGUGAUCGGCCACACUGGAGCUGAGACGCGGUCCAGACUCCUACGGGAGGCAGCAGUAGGGAAUCUUCCGCAAUGGGCGAAAGCCUGACGGAGCAACGCCGCGUGAGUGAUGAAGGUCUUCGGAUCGUAAAACUCUGUUAUUAGGGAAGAACAUAUGUGUAAGUAACUGUGCACAUCUUGACGGUACCUAAUCAGAAAGCCACGGCUAACUACGUG